AAAAGAAACCAACAGGGAUUGCCCCAGUAACGGCGAGUGAAGCGGCAACAGCUCAGAUUUGGAAUCUGGCCCCCCCCCGGGGGCCCGAGUUGUAAUCUGGAGAGGAUGCUUCUGGCGCGGCGCCUGGCGAGUUCCCUGGAACGGGACGCCGGAGAGGGUGAGAGCCCCGUACUCCAGGACGCCCAGCCUCUGCGAAGCUCCUUCGACGAGUCGAGUAGUUUGGGAAUGCUGCUCUAAACGGGAGGUAAAUUUCUUCUAAAGCUAAAUACCGGCCAGAGACCGAUAGCGCACAAGUAGAGUGAUCGAAAGAUGAAAAGCACUUUGAAAAGAGGGUCAAACAGUACGUGAAAUUGUUGAAAGGGAAGCGCCCGUGGCCAGACUUGCGCCCCGCGGCCCACCCGGCGGACCCCGCCGGGGCACGCCGCGGGGCGCAGGCCAGCAUCGGCUCUCCUAGGGGGACAAGGACGGCGGGAACGUGGCUCCCUCGGGAGUGUUAUAGCCCGCCGCGCCAUGCCCCUGGGGGGGCCGAGGA
rnacentral:rRNA from 2 species